rnacentral:snRNA from 1 species
GGAUGUGAGGGCGAUCUGGCUGCGACAUCUGUCACCCCAUUGAUCGCCAGGGUUGAUUCGGCUGAUCUGGCUGGCUAGGCGGGUGUCCCCUUCCUCCCUCACCGCUCCAUGUGCGUCCCUCCCGAAGCUGCGCGCUCGGUCGAAGAGGACGACCAUCCCCGAUAGAGGAGGACCGGUCUUCGGUCAAGGGUAUACGAGUC